GAGUGAGCUGGGGAGUGGACACCCAGGCUGUCUGUCUGUCUGGGAGGGAGUGAGCUGGGGAGUGGACACCCAUGCUGUCUGUCUGUCUGGGAAGGACUGAGCUGGGGAGUGGACACCCAGGCUGUCUGUCUGUCUGGGAGGGACUGAGCUGGGGAGUGGACACCCAGGCUGUCUGUCUGUCUGUCUGUCUGGGAAGGAGUGAGCUGGGGAGAGGACACCCCGUCUGUCUGUCUGGGAAGGACUGAGCUGGGGAGUGGACACCCAGGCUGUCUGUCUGUCUGGGAAGGACUGAGCUGGGGAGUGGACACCCAGGCUGUCUGUCUGUCUGGGAGGGAGUGAGCUGGGGAGUGGACACCCAGGCUGUCUGUCUGUCUGGGAGGGAGUGUGUGUGGGCAGCUGAUGAACUGACUGCUGCCUCUGUCAGGUUGUGUAAGAGGUGACAAGGCAGACAGAUGGUGGGGAGAGGGAAAAAAAACAUCAGAAUUAUCUCUCGACUGCAUCUUUCGCCAUGGGUUAAAUGAAAGAUUCUAAUUGUGAAUCGUACCAUAAAGAAAUAAAAUGUACCCCUUGUCUUUCAAAUGAAAGGCAAAAAUAUUGAGAUGAGGAAUGAGAUAAAAAUGUAUUAUCAUCUGUACUGCUGUUUGAAACAUAAUAUGAAAGUGAAUUGUAAAUGAGAUGGUGAAAGGGAGCAUGUCACAGGGGUCUUUUUAGAUAUUUUGUUCAGUGUUCAACUUGAGUAUUAUUUUGUAUUGUUUUUUUAAGGUGACAUGAUGGUUACUGCAGCUCAACAAUAGUCUGCAGAGAACAUUUUAAAGAAAUGAUGAUGAAAUAUGUUUUUGCGUGUGUACUUGUUUGUGCACUCAUGUGGUUGUGUAUGCGUUUCUGUGUGCCCAGGUGUGUGGCUGUGUGUGUUUGUAAGUGCUCUGGACAUACCUGGUGUCCUCUAGAAACCUAUUGUUUGCACUUUAAAUGCAAGAACAAGUCAAUGACUGUUAUCCAGUCACAAAUAUCUCAUUGAAUAUCCACUAGAAUGGAUCAAUCUUCAUCCAAACCACCAUAGUCAUUACAAUAUGACUUCCAGCAUACCUUAUCUAUCUGUUUCCCACCUCAGUUUACUCUACAGUAACAACCAUGGUUUUCUCUGAAAAUUAUAGAAUACUGUUAAUAUGACUUCUUGCUUACUGUAACAAAAUAAAUACAUGUUACAAUUCUUUGGUCAUUUUUGUUGUUUGUUUUUUAACAGUAUUAACUGAUGUCAUUUCCCCCAAGACAAGGCCAUAGGAGCUACACACUUAUAUUAUUUUCAUCAAGGAUAUCCCCCUCUAUAGUUUUAUAGCUUUCCAAU
rnacentral:lncRNA from 1 species